rnacentral:misc_RNA from 1 species
CGACUAAACAUUGUAAUCACAAACCAAUGGAAUAGAAAAAGGGUAACCAAACUAACAUUAUAUAUAACUACAAAAGAUGCUUCUUUUCUUCACCUCCGUUUUUUCUGAUUUUUUUUUACUUUUAGUUUUGGUGGAUUUAUUUCCCCGACGAUGCUUGUCUCAAAUCCCUGACGACAAUGCUAAUAUACCAGCUUCAGCUUCAAGCACCUGGAUUGAAGUGGGGAUCGAUCAUGCAGGGACUGUUGAUCGGGGACAGAGGAGUGGCGGCUGGGGCUGCAGGGGAGGAGUGGGAGCAAACGGGAGGCACGAAGCAACAGCCCCUGCCGCCGUGCACGUUGCUGGCGUGAUGGCUACCGAGCGUCUGGUAAGAGCAGAACACCUUGGACGCGAC